rnacentral:rRNA from 1 species
UACGUAGGGUGCAAGCGUUGUCCGGAAUUAUUGGGCGUAAAGAGCUCGUAGGCGGCUUGUCGCGUCGACUGUGAAAACCCGUGGCUCAACCAUGUGGUCUGCAGUCGAUACGGGCAGGCUAGAAUUCGGUAGGGGAGACUGGAAUUCCUGGUGUAGCGGUGGAAUGCGCAGAUAUCAGGAGGAACACCGAUGGCGAAGGCAGAUCUCUGGGCCGUAACUGACGCUGAGGAGCGAAAGCAUGGGGAGCGAACAGG